ACCGCGAUAGCUCAGCUGGCUAGAGCAUCUGUCCGGUAUGCUGAGGGUCGCCGGUUCGUUUCCGGCUCGCGCGU
rnacentral:tRNA from 1 species